UACGGAGGGUGCAAGCGUUGCUCGGAAUUAUUGGGCGUAAAGGGUAGGUAGGUGGUCUCAUUUGUCUGAGGUGAAAUCCCUGAGCUUAACUCAAGAAGUGCCUUAGAAACGGUGAGACUAGAGUUCUGGAGAGGGUCGUGGAAUUCCCGGUGUAGCGGUGAAAUGCGUAGAGAUCGGGAGGAACACCAGAGGCGAAGGCGGCGACCUGGACAGAUACUGACGCUGAGGUGCGAAAGCGUGGGGAGCAAACAGG
rnacentral:rRNA from 1 species